AUUGAACGCUGGCGGCAGGCCUAACACAUGCAAGUCGAACGAGUGGCGGACGGGUGAGUAAUUUCUGGGAAACUGCCCGAUGGAGGGGGAUAACUACUGGAAACGGUAGCUAAUACCGCAUACCAUCGGAUGUGCCCAGAUGGGAUUAGCUAGUAGGUGGGGUAACGGCUCACCUAGGCGACGAUCCCUAGCUGGUCUGAGAGGAUGACCAGCCCCACUGUACCUGUGACACGGUCCAGCCUCCACCGGGGGGCAGCAUUGGGGAAUAUUGCACAAUGGGCGCAAGCCUGAUGCAGCCAUGCCGCGUGUAUGAAGAGGGCCUUCGGGUUGUAAAGUACUUUCGGCGAGGAGGCGUUACUCGCAGAAGAAGCACCGGCUAACUCCGUGCCAGCAGCCGCGGUAAUU
rnacentral:rRNA from 1 species